rnacentral:rRNA from 1 species
UACAGAGGGGGCAAGCGUUAUUCGGAAUUAUUGGGCGUAAAGGGCGCGUAGGCGGCUUGGCAAGUGGAUGGUGAAAUCCCUCGGCUUAACCGAGGAACUGCCGUCCAAACUGCUUCGCUUGAGACCGGGAGAGGUGAGUGGAAUUCCCAGUGUAGCGGUGAAAUGCGUAGAUAUCUGGAGGAACACCGGUGGCGAAGGCGGCAUCCUGGACCGGUAUUGACGCUGAGGAGCGAAAGCCAGGGGAGCAAACGGG